rnacentral:rRNA from 1 species
GCGAACGUUAGCGGCAGGCUUAACACAUGCAAGUCGAACGAGAAUUCGGGCUUCGGCUCGAUAGUAAAGUGGCGGACGGGUGAGUAACACGUGGAUAACCUACCCUUUGGCGGGGGACAACAGUCCGAAAGGAUUGCUAAUACCGCAUAAGUCGGCGAGGUCUUCGGAUCUUGCCGGGAAUGAUGGCCUCUUCAUGAAAGCUAUCACCGAAGGAUGAGUCCGCGUCCCAUCAGCUAGUUGGCGGUGUAAGAGACCACCAAGGCGAAGACGGGUAGCUGGUCUGAGAGGAUGAUCAGCCACACUGGGACUGAGACACGGCCCAGACUCCUACGGGAGGCAGCAGUGGGGAAUUUUGGACAAUGGGGGCAACCCUGAUCCAGCCAUGCCGCGUGCGGGAAGAAGGCCUUCGGGUUGUAAACCGCUUUUGAUCCGGGAAGAAGGAGUGUAGGGUUAAUACCCUGGCACUGACUGACGGUACCGGCAGAAUAAGCACCGGCUAACUACGUGCCAGCAGCCGCGGUAAUACGUAGGGUGCGAGCGUUAAUCGGAAUUACUGGGCGUAAAGCGUGCGCAGGCGGUUCGUUAGUGUCUGCUGUGAAAGCCCCGGGCUCAACCUGGGAAUGGCAGUUGGAAACUGGCGGAGCUAGAGUGCUGGCAGAGGGGGGUGGAAUUCCAGCGUGUAGCAGUGAAAUGCGUAGAGAUGUGGAGGAACACCGAUGGCGAAGGCUAGCCCCCUGGGCUGACACUUGACGCUCAGGCACGAAAGCGUGGGGAGCAAACAGGAUUAGAUACCCUGGUAGUCCACGCCCUAAACGAUGGCAACUAGGGUGUUGGGAAGCGCAGUUCCUCAGGUACCGCUAGCUAACGCGUGAAGUUGACCGCCUGGGGAGUACGGUCGCAAGAUUAAAACUCAAAGGAAUUGACGGGGACCCGCACAAGCGGUGGAUGAUGUGGAUUAAUUCGAUGCAACGCGAACAACCUUACCUACCCUUGACAUGUCCUGGAAUCCUGCUGAGAGGGCGGGAGUGCCCGAAAGGGAACUCGGAACACAGGUGCUGCAUGGCUGUCGUCAGCUCGUGUCGUGAGAUGUUGGGUUAAGUCCCGCAACGAGCGCAACCCUUGUCCCUUAGUUGCUACGCAAGGGCACUCUAGGAGACUGCCGGUGACAAACCGGAGGAAGGUGGGGAUGACGUCAAGUCCUCAUGGCCCUUAUGGGUAGGGCUUCACACGUCAUACAAUGGUCGGUACAGAGGGUAGCCAACCCGCGAGGGGGAGCCAAUCCCAGAAAGCCGAUCGUAGUCCGGAUCGCAGUCUGCAACUCGACUGCGUGAAGUCGGAAUCGCUAGUAAUCGCGGAUCAGCAUGUCGCGGUGAAUACGUUCCCGGGUCUUGUACACACCGCCCGUCACACCAUGGGAGUGGAAUCCACCAGAAGUAGGUAGUCUAACCGCAAGGGGGACGCUUACCACGGUAGGUUUCAUGACUGGGGUG